ensembl:lncRNA
UUCACAGGUCCCACAAGGGGCAGAGAACCAGCCCAAAGGCUCCACAACCAAGAACAGUGCCCCAAAUCAUGUCAAGCUGCAUCUUACACCAGGAUGGAGUCUGCACAGGCCCUUUUUGGUGUCACUGUCUUCAGAGUCCGAGCCAGAGAUGGGAGCAUCUGAGUGGCCUGACCAGGUCGUGUGUUUUGCCUUGCAGAAAGGGAGCUGGGAAAGUGCAUUUCUGGCAUUUUCAGCAUGCAUAAUGGGAGGAUUUUUUCACUGACCCUUAUCUUGAUCUGGGUCCUCUGAGAAUCAAAUGCCAUAAUGGUUUUCGCCUGGGAGAAAUGCUUGUAUAGGAUAAAGGUGGAAAGAAUCGGGAAAGAGAAGGAGUGCCUUCAAACCAAGAUGCAGCCUCUUGAUGAAAGUGAAAGAGGAGAGCGAAAAAGUUGGCUUAAAGCUCAACAUUCAGAAAAUGAAGAUCAUGGUAUCUGGUCCCAUCACUUCAUGGGAAAUAGAUGGGAAAUAGUAGAAACAGUGUCAGACUUUAUUUUUGGGGGCUCCCAAAUCACUGCAGA